rnacentral:rRNA from 1 species
GCGAAUGCAUGAAAGAAGCUUGCUUCUUCUGAUUUAGCGGCGGACGGGUGAGUAACACGUGGGCAACCUACCUAGUAGAUUGGGAUAACUCCGGGAAACCGGGGCUAAUACCGAAUAAUCCAUUUUGUCACAUGGCAAAAUGCUGAAAGGCGGUUUCGGCUGUCACUACUAGAUGGGCCCGCGGUGCAUUAGCUAGUUGGUGGGGUAACGGCCUACCAAGGCAACGAUGCAUAGCCGACCUGAGAGGGUGAUCGGCCACAUUGGGACUGAGACACGGCCCAAACUCCUACGGGAGGCAGCAGUAGGGAAUCUUCCACAAUGGACGAAAGUCUGAUGGAGCAACGCCGCGUGAGUGAUGAAGGUUUUCGGAUCGUAAAACUCUGUUGUAAGGGAAGAACAAGUACGUUAGUAACUGAACGUACCUUGACGGUACCUUAUUAGAAAGCCACGGCUAACUACGUGCCAGCAGCCGCGGUAAUACGUAGGUGGCAAGCGUUGUCCGGAUUUAUUGGGCGUAAAGCGCGCGCAGGUGGUUUCUUAAGUCUGAUGUGAAAGCCCACGGCUCAACCGUGGAGGGUCAUUGGAAACUGGGAGACUUGAGUGCAGAAGAGGAAAGUGGAAUUCCAAGUGUAGCGGUGAAAUGCGUAGAGAUUUGGAGGAACACCAGUGGCGAAGGCGACUUUCUGGUCUGUAACUGACACUG